rnacentral:rRNA from 1 species
GGGCGGCUGCUAUACAUGCAGUCGAGCGAAUUGCAAGAGGAGCUUGCUCCUCUGAUUUAGCGGCGGACGGGUGAGUAACACGUGGGUAAUCUGCCUGUAAGACGGGGAUAACUCCGGGAAACCGGGGCUAAUACCGGAUAACAAGAGAAGAAGCAUUUCUUCUUUUUGAAAGUCGGUUUCGGCUGACACUUACAGAUGAGCCCGCGGCGCAUUAGCUAGUUGGUGAGGUAACGGCUCACCAAGGCGACGAUGCGUAGCCGACCUGAGAGGGUGAUCGGCCACACUGGGACUGAGACACGGCCCAGACUCCUACGGGAGGCAGCAGUAGGGAAUCUUCGGCAAUGGGCGAAAGCCUGACCGAGCAACGCCGCGUGAGCGAUGAAGGCCUUCGGGUCGUAAAGCUCUGUUGUUAGAGAAGAACAAGUACGAGAGUAACUGCUCGUACCUUGACGGUACCUAACCAGAAAGCCACGGCUAACUACGUGCCAGCAGCCGCGGUAAUACGUAGGUGGCAAGCGUUAUCCGGAAUUAUUGGGCGUAAAGCGCGCGCAGGCGGUCUCUUAAGUCUGAUGUGAAAGCCCACGGCUCAACCGUGGAGGGUCAUUGGAAACUGGGAGACUUGAGUGCAGGAGAGAAAAGUGGAAUUCCACGUGUAGCGGUGAAAUGCGUAGAGAUGUGGAGGAACACCAGUGGCGAAGGCGGCUUUUUGGCCUGUAACUGACGCUGAGGCGCGAAAGCGUGGGGAGCAAACAGGAUUAGAUACCCUGGUAGUCCACGCCGUAAACGAUGAGUGCUAGGUGUUGGGGGGGUUCCACCCUCAGUGCUGAAGUUAACACAUUAAGCACUCCGCCUGGGGAGUACGACCGCAAGGUUGAAACUCAAAGGAAUUGACG